rnacentral:rRNA from 1 species
CAGCCGCCGCGGGAAUACGAAGGGUGCAAGCGUUACUCGGAAUUACUGGGCGUAAAGCGUGCGUAGGUGGUGGUUUAAGUCCGUUGUGAAAGCCCUGGGCUCAACCUGGGAAUUGCAGUGGAUACUGGAUCACUAGAGUGUGGUAGAGGAUAGUGGAAUUUCCGGUGUAGCAGUGAAAUACGUAGAGAUCGGAAGGAACAUCUGUGGCGAAGGCGACUAUCUGGGCCAACACUGACACUGAGGCACGAAAGCGUGGGGAGCAAACAGGAUUAGAUACCCGCGUAGUCCCUGUCUCUUAUAC